AAUUUUCAACGGUGGAUCACUUGGCUCAUGUGACGAUGAAGAACGCAGCGAAAUGCGAUACGCAAUGCGAAUUGCAGAACCGCGAGUCAUCAGAUCUUUGAACGCAAUUGGCGAAGGUGUUAAAAAACCUUCAUGUUUGUUUCAGUGUGG